rnacentral:rRNA from 1 species
ACAGCAGUAGCCGCGGUAAUACGGAGGGUGCAAGCGUUAAUCGGAAUUACUGGGCGUAAAGCGCACGCAGGCGGUUUGUUAAGUCAGAUGUGAAAUCCCCGAGCUUAACUUGGGAACUGCAUUUGAAACUGGCAAGCUAGAGUCUUGUAGAGGGGGGUAGAAUUCCAGGUGUAGCGGUGAAAUGCGUAGAGAUCUGGAGGAAUACCGGUGGCGAAGGCGGCCCCCUGGACAAAGACUGACGCUCAGGUGCGAAAGCGUGGGGAGCAAACAGGAUUAGAUACCCCGGUAGUCCCUGUCUCUUACAC